rnacentral:lncRNA from 1 species
GUCACUUCUUGUGUUGCUGAACAUAUUUCCAUCUGCCUGAGUAGGAAAGGCUAGACAUGCUUGUUUGCCUUGAAAACUUUGAUUACCUUGUUUUCCAUAUGAUCUGCAUCUGUAGUUAGCUGUAUUAGUUAACUCAGGUUAAAAUAUCAUCACCAAGGAUCUGAUUUAAACCAUUGCCAUAAACAAACACUUUAUUUUCAAGGGACAUCAUUAGCGACAUCAUAUCCCUUUGGCUUCUGCAGACAGUUUUUUUCUAAGACAUUUUGCCUUCUUUAGAGCUUCAGAAUCACUUUUGCAUCAAAACUUUAUGUUACUUAGCAGCAGGGUUUUAAGUUCAUUUUGUGUCUGUACUUUGUCUAUUGACUGAGCUCCACCCAUUUCCACUAUGAAGUGUAGGUCACUGCUUUUUUCUUUUUCCCUAUGCAGCUGUCCUUCUGGCAGUCCUUGAGGGGAACUUCGACCAGCUUCGUUUCAGUCCCUGAAAUCCACAGGACUGAGCCAAAAAUUCUGUCAUGAUUUCAAUAUCUGAAAGAUUAGAUCAUAAAUAUAGGCAUCUCCUGAUUUUUUUGCCACUGCAGUUCAAAGGGAUCAAGAACCUUUCCUGUGAAGUCGAUGGUUAGUUGAAAGCUGGAUUUGACUGAAUUCUCCCCCCUUAAGGUAAAAAAAUAAUCUGUAGAGUAAUAAAUUUUUAAGUGUC